rnacentral:rRNA from 1 species
AGUUGAAUGAAGACCGUACCGUAAACCGACACAGGUGGGUAGGAUGAGAAUUCUAAGGCGCUUGAGAGAACUCAGGAGAAGGAACUCGGCAAAAUAGCACCGUAACUUCGGGAAAAGGUGUGCCCUUUGUAUGUGUAGCGCCUCGCGCGUGAAGCAGAAUAGGGUUGCAAUGAAAUGGUGGCUGCGACUGUUUAAUAAAAACAUAGCACUCUGCAAACACGAAAGUGGACGUAUAGAGUGUGACGCCUGCCCGGUGCCGGAAGGUUAAAUGAUGGGGUGCAAGCUCUUGAUUGAAGCCCCGGUAAACGGCGGCCGUAACCAUAACGGUCCUAAGGUAGCGAAAUUCCUUGUCGGGUAAGUUCCGACCUGCACGAAUGGCGUAACGAUGGCCACACUGUCUCCUCCUGGGACUCAGCGAAGUUGAAAUGUUUGUGAAGAUGCAAUCUCCCCGCGGCUAGACGGAAAGACCCCGUGCACCUUUACUGUAGCUUUACAUUGGACUUUGAUAACAUUUGUGUAGGAUAGGUGGGAGGCUUUGAAGUGGAUUCGCCAGAAUUCAUGGAGCCAACGUUGAAAUACCACCCUGAUGUUGUUGAGGUUCUAACCUAGAUCCAUUAUCUGGAUUGGGGACCGUGUAUGGUAGGCAGUUUGACUGGGGCGGUCUCCUCCCAAAUUGUAACGGAGGAGUACGAAGGUACGCUAGGUACGGUCGGAAAUCGUGCUGAUAGCGCAAUGGCAAAAGCGUGCUUGACUGCGAGACUGACAAGUCGAGCAGAUGCGAAAGCAGGUCAUAGUGAUCCGGUGGUUCUGUAUGGAAGGGCCAUCGCUCAACGGAUAAAAGGUACGCCGGGGAUAACAGGCUGAUUCCUCCCAAGAGUUCAUAUCGACGGGGGAGUUUGGCACCUCGAUGUCGGCUCAUCACAUCCUGGGGCUGUAGCCGGUCCCAAGGGUAUGGCUGUUCUCCAUUUAAAGUGGUACGUGAGCUGGGUUUAAAACGUCGUGAGACAGUUUGGUCCCUAUCUGCCGUGGGCGUUGGAAGUUUGAGUGGACCUGCUCCUAGUACGAGAGGACCGGAGUGGACGCACCUCUGGUGUACCGGUUAUGACGCCAGUCGUAUCGCCGGGUAGCUAUGUGCGGAAGAGAUAACCGCUGAAAGCAUCUAAGCGGGAAACUCUCCUCAAGAUGAGACUUCCCGAGGGUUUAACCCUCCUAAAGGUUCGUCGAAGACUACGACGUUGAUAGGUCGGGUGUGGAAGCAUAGUGAUAUGUUAAGCUAACCGAU